rnacentral:rRNA from 1 species
GAUGAACGCUGGCUACAGGCUUAACACAUGCAAGUCGAGGGGAAACGACGGGGAAGCUUGCUUCCCCGGGCGUCGACCGGCGCACGGGUGAGUAACGCGUAUCCAACCUGCCUCUGACUGAGGGAUAACCCGUCGAAAGUCGGCCUAAUACCUCAUGGCAUCGUCUGCGGGCAUCCAACGACGAUUAAAGAUUUCAUCGGUCAGAGAUGGGGAUGCGUCUGAUUAGCUUGUUGGCGGGGUAACGGCCCACCAAGGCGACGAUCAGUAGGGGUUCUGAGAGGAAGGUCCCCCACAUGGGAACUGAGACACGGUCCAAACUCCUACGGGAGGCAGCAGUGAGGAAUAUUGGGCAAUGGGCGAGAGCCUGAACCAGCCAAGUAGCGUGCAGGAGGACGGCCCUAUGGGUGGUAAACUGCUUUUAUGCGGGGAUAAAGUGAGGGACGUGUCCUUCAUUGCAGGUACCGCAUGAAUAAGGACCGGCUAAUUCCGUG